AUGUGGGGAAGGAUGUCAGUGAGAGCAAAAGCUGUGGAGCUACUACUGCUGCUGCUGCUAAUGGAGGCUUUUAAGUGCUGUGUGCCGAUGCUGAGGCUCAGUGCUCCUCCUGAUUAGAUGAACAACGACUGUUUAAUGCUCUUCCACAUUUUUAUAUUACCCACAAAGAGUCGGCGGUCAUACAAGGGAGGGGAUAGAUUGUUUGAUCAAUGCCAAACUCUCUCUCUCUCCGGUAGUUACAGAACUGGAGGAACAAAUCCGUUUUCUCUUGUUGUUGUUGUGACUCGAUCGAUGGUCGCAGACAGAGCCGUCAAAACUCUCUUACCCUAAUGGCUACUACUACUGCCCAUCUCCAUUGCGAAAACGGGUUGUUACGAAACGGCCAUUUCCUUGCCAAGAAACUCACGUACGCAGAGCACACACAUGUACCUGCGGAUGAGGGGCGUGUGCAGAGAAUCCGAAAUAAGAGAACCCAUUUUCUCGACUGGUGAAUUUAAAAUUCAAACGGGAAUUUAAGCCCCUUCCAAAGGGUGGGAGGAAUGCUCUUCAACGCCGCCAGGUAACAGCCUUGAAAUUUAACAAUACACUAAAUAUAUUAUUUAAUACAAAAAACCCCCCUCUACUUCUUCUUCUUCUUCGUAUUCCAAACUUUCUUUCUUAAACAAGACUCGUGUAAUCAUCAUCAUCACCAUAAAGGCAAACCCCCCCUUCACAUAAACCCAAAAAGGCUCCCCCCCUGUGAGUAUAAAGAAGAUGAAGGAGAAUUAAUGAAAUGAAGCUAAACAUACA